CUCACUUGUUCAUGCCAUUAAGAUCAAUAUUUUAUUCUUAGCAAUAAAAUGAGUUCAGUGAAACCGGAUGUGCUCAGUCAAGAAAAUGGUGUGAGUUGCUCUGGAACCACUGAGUUAUUUUCUCUAAUCACGUCUGCACCGGCCACAUCUCAGCCCAUAUCUAAAGAUUUGGAGCACCCAGUGUCACAUCAGCACAACACAGCAGAUCCUGAAAACAUGUUUGUUACUUCUGUAAACCCAAUGUACCAGACCUCAGAUGUUUUGGUCCCUAAACAACAGAAAUCAGAAAAUACAGAAGAAAACGAGAAUGUUUACCAUCUGUACUGCACAAUUCCUGAUAAACCAGUUCACUCAAACAAAUGAGAUCAAGAAGAUGUACUGAUGAGUUCAGAAGAUUAUCUAGAGGAUUUGCUCUGACAAAGUCCAACAAUUACAUCUAAGAAUUGCUUGUCUUUUUGAUAAUAAGGAACUAAAUCAAUGACUAAUGUAACCAUCUUUGCAUUUUAAUAUAUUUGGAAAGCCAAUGUUAUGUUUUCUGAGUUUUAGUAUGUGAGCAAUAUAAGAAGUUAACACAUUUGGUUAUAGAGGUCUGACUGCUGUUUUUCCUGCUGGUUAAUUAGAAGGUUUACUAGUUAAAAAAAAUGUAUAUAUAGUUUCUGAGAAAAAUGCUAACUGCAUUACAAAAUGUUUGCCACUGUUUAAGGCAUUUUAACUGAAUUGUCCACCGAAUUGAUUGAUAGGCGCCAUGUUUCUAUAAUGACAUGUAUACACAUCCACAGAA
rnacentral:lncRNA from 1 species